ACAAUCUCAUAUAUUGUCAAUAAAUGUAUCCCGUUGCACGAUACUAAUAUACUGGAGGGUGUAGUUUUUUUUUUUAUUUUUUUUUUUAUUUCACUCAAUCGACAUACAUUUGCACAAAAGUAGAUACAAACGAAUAUGAAUACAUUUAAGCGUACAUAUAUAUAUUAUAAUGUUCAUUUUCUUUUUAUGAGAGAGAGAGAGAGAGAGAGAGAGAGAGAGAGAGAGGAGGGAGUCAAUUGACUAAUGGAGACCAUUUUUCCCAGUCCAUUUUAAAUUUAUCUAAUUCAUUUCUUUCCUUAUAACUAUCCAGGUUGAUUUGAUACAAUUGUUUCCAAUCAUUUAUAAGGGCUUUAAGUGUUAGCUGAUUUUUUUUUUUACAUCUAUUCCUAUAUAUAUAUAUUUUGAUUAUUAUAAGUAAUGCAUUGUAUGACCUGAAAUGUUUUUGUUUUGUAUCACCAAAUAUAAAAGUUUUGACAUCAAAUUCUAUUUCAAUCGCCUUUGAAUUGUAAUAUCUGAUAAAUUCUGAUAAUAAUUGUUGUACUUUUGGACAAUCCCAAAGUAAAUGGUAAAUUGUUUCGUCUUCCCUAUCACAAAAGGUACAUAGUUUAGAAUCUACUGUACCUAAUUUGUACAUAUAGCUAGGGUGUAGUUUUUAUUCCUAAGGGUGAACCAUGGUUUUCAAACGUGUCUCAGCCAAUCAGAUUAGAGUAUUUUACAUGAAAGUAGAAUUAUAUGAAUUACUUCUGUUCAUAAGGGAUCUACGGUAUAUCAACAAUACUGUAAUAGCCGUGUUUCGAGUUACUCCGGAACACAGUGUUUAUUCUGUGUUUAGUCACGCCGCGUCAAAAAUGUUCCACAGGGUUACUUCCGGUUUAUCGUUGUUUACCUACCAACAGUCGACACUUCGUGUAUUAGGCCUAGGCUUAAUUUUGUCGAUCAUCAUGAAAUUGAAAUACACAUUUAAUGGUUUGGGGUGUAUGCGGUACAUAUUUGUUUAUGAGCGUUUGAUAAGCUACUAUUGAUCUACGAAAUACAACGAAAGACUUCGUCAAGAACAGAAGAAGACGAUGCAUGUCGUGCAAGGCCCAGCUGUCUAGUAACCGGAGGGGUAAAGGAAAAGAACGUAUUAGACUCACUGAAACCUGUCAAACAGGUAUAUGGGAACAGGAUCAUUUUCCAUGCCUUUCACCUGAGGUCUUCAGUUUCAUCAUUAAUCAUCUGAAUGUCGGUAUGCCAAACUCUCAUGAUGUCAUGCCAUUACUGGAUAUUCCUUAACACUGGUUUAUUUAAGCCACACUACCUAUAACAUUACCAAAAUAUUAGACUGAAAAUUUUCAAAUACACAAGAUUUGAAGCAGCAAUAGAAAAGAAUUACAUAUGUAUAACACACAAAAAAGAAGAAAUUAAUUCUCACCUGGCUGAUAUGAACUUUUUACUCCUUUUUAGCUCCCUUUCACUGCAUACCAGCCAAUAACUAGCAGUCAUUAUAUGCAGAUCAGCCAUUGUUAUCAACCUGUGUAUAUAUAUGUUGAAUGAAAUAUGAAUGAAAA